rnacentral:tRNA from 1 species
AAUACAGUGCCUGAUUUAAAAGGAUAGCUUUGAUAGAGCUAAUCAUGUAUUGCUUAUACCUGUAUUA